GGGGAAUUUUGGACAAUGGGGGCAACCCUGAUCCAGCCAUGCCGCGUGAGUGAAGAAGGCCUUCGGGUUGUAAAGCUCUUUCGGCUGGGAAGAAAUCGCAUCUCCUAAUACGGGGUGUGGAUGACGGUACCAGCAUAAGAAGCACCGGCUAACUACGUGCCAGCAGCCGCGGUAAUACGUAGGGUGCGAGCGUUAAUCGGAAUUACUGGGCGUAAAGCGUGCGCAGGCGGUUUCGUAAGACAGAGGUGAAAUCCCCGGGCUCAACCUGGGAACUGCCUUUGUGACUGCGAGGCUAGAGUAUGGCAGAGGGGGGUGGAAUUCCACGUGUAGCAGUGAAAUGCGUAGAGAUGUGGAGGAACACCGAUGGCGAAGGCAGCCCCCUGGGCCAAUACUGACGCUCAUGCACGAAAGCGUGGGGAGCAAAC
rnacentral:rRNA from 1 species